UCUACAUCUAGUCAAGAUGUACAAGUUACAUGCAGCAUGCAUUUGUGAACUUCUGAAAUGACUGCUUAUAACUGAGAUUGAAUCAGGACUCUUUCAAAUGAUUUUAUUUGCAGCAGCACUUAGAUCCAUUUGGCCAAAAGUCUUUUACAAUGCAAGAUCACUGUCACAGAGAUGAUACAAUAUUGAAGAACAAUGGGAAUCUACCUGGGGAAUUAUUUUGCCUCACAUGAAGCUCAAAAUGACACACUCUUCACUCAGCCACUCAAGCUGAAGAAUGACUGAAGAACCCUGUGAAGGUCAAAAAUAUUU
ensembl:lncRNA